UUUAUUUUGUAUUAUAAAUUAAAAUUAUUCGUUUAGCACGAUUAAAGGAUAAUGUUGAUGGACUAAGGUAGUACUAAGUCUAAAAACUCUAAAAAAAACUAACAACUUUUGAGUUUUUAAUUUAUAGCUGUUCUUGGUUUGUUUGCCUAGUCCAUUGACGCAUUCUCAUAUUGAUAUAAUAUUUUAUAAUGUAUGCUAAAAUAAAAUCUUUGUGUUCCGCAAAUGGAAAUGUGAACGUUUCACACUUGGUUAUCAAGGCUUUUAUCGUAUCUUCAAAAACACUUGUUUUACUUAUCAUAUAUGGUUCAUCAACUCAUCUUCAAUAACACUCAAUAAUUUAUACAAAUAUAUACAAAUACUUUUUGUUAAAAAAUCUUGAGAUUCAAUUUUCUCAGCUUCUAAAUUAGAUUCCCAAGAGUUCAACUAGUCCAGAGAACGUUGAAGUAUCUGUUUAGUUUUAAAGUUAAAAAUUAUAAUUUGUGAUUUACAUUUGAAUUUUAUUGUUGCUUUUUCAUCUAUGCUUACAGAUUGCUUAGUGAACGAGUCUGCACCAAUUUGAAGGAAACAGCAUAGAGUCCAUAUUUAAAUAAACUUGUUCAAAAAUAUUUUUUAUAGAAUUGGUUAUUUUACUAUGGUCAAGGUUGGGCUCUCUUAUUAAAUGUGUAUGAACUGGAAUACUACACAUUUGAGUUUUAUUAUUUUCAUAUUGUUUCUAAGAAUAAGCAAAAUUAUGACAGAAUAUAAACAUUAUAUGGGGAGAGACGCAAAAUAGGCAGAGCUAAUUCAUCAGAAUUAUAGGAAUUCUCAUGACUAAUAUUCAGUUUUUUUACAACACUGUUUGAUUUUGAAGGCAGUUGAUUUGUAUGUAUAUUGCCUUCAUCAAUAAUUGCACCAAAAGUAUCAGGAAUAUUAUUACUUAAACCUUCAAAUUCAACUAUAGGAUAUGCAUCUGGUUUUAAAAGUACCUUAAUAUAAAAAUAUGUGUUAAAAAAAGAAUUAUGUUAAUAAAAUAAUGUAAUA